ensembl:snoRNA Gm26262 small nucleolar RNA SNORA17
ACUGCCCCUAGAGGCAUUGCAACCAUUGUGUCACAUGUUUGAAAGUAGGUGUCAAAUGAGGAGAGAAGCUAUGUCUAUGCUCAGUGUUCUGACCUAGGGACAUCUGAGUGAUCAGUAGCCUAACAGU